rnacentral:lncRNA from 1 species
ACAGCUAAAAAUAGAACAUAGGGGUAAAAUGCAGUUUUUGGCUUAUGACUCAAAAACCAAAGCAUUUAGAGCUAAUCUGAUAUGGAAUAAAAUUGAUUAUCAGGUCAAGAUCUAUCUGCCCUGAAAUUUUCAGAUGAAUCGGACAACCUGUUGUUGGGUUGCUGCCCCUGAAUUGGUAACUUUAAGGAAAUUUUGCUGUUUUUGGUUAUUAUCUUGAAUAUUAUUAUAGAUAGAGAUAAACUGUAAACAGCAAUAAUGUUGAGCAAAGUAAGAUUUACAAAUAAGUCAACAUGAUUGAAAUGGUCAGUUAACCCCUUUAGGAGUUAUUGCCCUUUAUAGUCAAUUUUUAACCAUUUUUCGUAAAUCUUAGUUAUCUUUUACAAAAAUCUUCUCCUCUGAAACUACUGGGCCAAGUUCAUUAUAAAUAGAGAUAAUUGUAAGCAGUAAGAAUGUUCAGUAAAGUAAGAUGUACAAACACAUCACCAUCACAAAAACACAAUGUUGUCAUGAAUCCAUCUGCGUCCUUUGUUUAAUAUUCACAUAGACC